GUUUGUAUUGUCCGACGGGGCAAAUACGGGCCGUGUUGGUUAGGUCCACCUUGCAAGGUUAAAUCGGAUCGAUUCGCCGUGUCUCGCGGUUAUGAGGGCCUUGGUCUCUUUGUCACACCGUAGCAAAUGAGAUAGGAUAUUAGAAACAUUAAAUGGAUACUAUUCUGAAUCUUAAUUUGUAUGUCCCAACUUGAGUGUUUAGACAGGCAAACAUUAGUAAGAGUUUAUCUAUUUAAAAUAUGCGGCUAAAACAUGGAAAGUAAGGAUACACCUCUAGUUGCUGUUCUGCAAAACAAACCACUGACCAAAGGCCGUGCAUGUCUAGAUAUGUGGGCUAAGUUAUACCCACUGGUCGGGUAAGUCUUGCUGAGUAUUAGUAUACUCAGGGUUUGUUGUUUACCCUAUUUCAGGUAUAGAAGCUAACCAGGAUUCGCAUCAGUGGGCUCGAUGUGACGUCCUCGCGUGUUCAUAAUUAUCGUAUUGUUUUAUUGGUUCUCAAUCAAAUUUCUUCCUCUCAGGUCAUAUUCUCUUCUGCUGCUGUCAUUUAUUUUAUAUAAAUUCUAAAUUUAAAGCUAUUUUGUAAAUAUUUAUGUUAUUAUCUAUUGUUGUGAAAUUAUAUUAUGCUGGUACCGUCUGUGCUUGCCGUCGCGCGAGACUUCUGGUGUGUUUCGAUCGGCCUGUGGGUUGGAAACAGGCUGUCAGGUUACACUUAAUUAAGCUAAUGCGCCUGAUGCGUUCAAAUGAUGGCCAUUACGCUUAAUUAAGCCGUUUAACUUGGCGGUUCUGUCACAGGCUCCCCUUGUCUGCGUGGGGGUAGGGGGGCUCGAGCUCCCCCCCCCCCCCCCCCAGCCCCCACGGUGCAUCAUCCCAUGAACUCUUACCCAAACUAGGAUGCUUAGGAAAAACACUUUUCAUCUUGGACUUGAUAGAAUCCAAUGUCUGGAGAGCUUGAUGUGCAUCACCUGACAGCUGUAGUAUCUCUGAUUCUGCUCGGAUCAGAAGCAGCUUCAUAAAAUUGAAAUUGCGUCAGUAUUCAGCUCCACAAAAAUGUAAAAUAAAUAAUUUUUUUUAGGGUAAUGUAAAAUAAAUACAUGUACAUUACGUAUAUAAGAUUAUGUAUUCACACAAGCAAGCAAAAUUAAGGCUAACGUUUGGAGUUUUUAUUGGCCCAAAUGGAUCUGAUUUCAUUCACCAAGGCCCAAAGGGCAGUCUUACAUAUAUAUAGAGACCAAGACACCUCUUUAACCCAGACCUACCUACAUGGACACAGGAGUCCAGAAAAUCCUCCAUGUGAUCCCAGCGAAGAAAAUGCGUUGCAUAUGAAUGAAGCUUUCGUCCUCUCGAGAGAGCUUCUUAGGCUUAUAGGCUCCUACCACUAGCCCUGUUUGGCUUAGAUCUUGUUUAGAUGCAAAAUUCAAAAUUCCAAAACUAUCUUGCGGCACAUGCAUGGAAUAUUAAAUCUAGAUAAAAUAAAAAAUUAAUUACAUAGUUUGCUUGUAAAUUAUGAGACGAAAGCCUAAUUGGACCAUGAUUAGACAAUAAAUUGCAACAGUAAACAUGUGCUAAUGACGAAUUAAUUAUUUUUAAUAAAUUUGUCUCGUAGUUUAUAGAUGAGUUAUGUAAUUAGUUUUGUGAUUAAUCUAUGUUUAGUACUUUAAAUGUGCUAAAAUUCUAUUUCAAAAACUUUACACAUGGCAUCUAAACAAGACCUUAGAGCUUUUGUUGUUCUUCUACAACUCCCCAUUUUAUAUCCUCCUAUUCCUUUGUCACUUCUUUGCUGCAAAAAGAAAAAAAAUCAACCAGCACUGUUACAUAGAUGAAGACCAAAGGAAUGCACAAGAAACUUGUUCAUGUGAUUUAGGCAAAGUGCAGAAAGGCUUGAACCAUUUACUUGCCCUGUAUAAGAUGAGCAAGUCCGAACUCUGUAAACGUGCAGUCCCUUGCCCCGAGUAAUUACAACCUUUACUUCACAUAAACGUUUGAGUUUUGACCAACAGUUAUAUUUAUGAUCAGGCAAACUUAGUUCCUUCCUUCUUUAGAUAUACAAUUACAAUUAUACCAUUUCAUUUGACGAGUAGAGAUAUGCCUAAUACAUAUUGAUGGCAUAUGUUCAAAGUUGAUCAAUGUAUCACAAUAAGUGCAAUUAACUCCAGUUCUGUAUGAAUAAUCGACCUCCUAUAGGCUUCCUAUUGUUAGAAUUUUGGGCUAGGUCCAUUGACAAAUUCAGAAAUUUCUAAUAAAUCUCAAAGGCCCAUAUAUGUGCACGAGGGAGGUUGUGGUGCAACCUAUAGUUCCACCUUGCUUGUGAAAGGUGAGAAUAGCUAACUUAAAUAGCGAGACUAUACUCACAUCUCCAAGCUAUGUGUGUUGGAGAGAAAGGGAGCUCCACUUGCGCGCUAGCCCCGCUCGGCGGUGCGGGGCGUGGCGAAAUACGCAGGCGUUUGCCGAAAUCCGGGCUCCUCGCCUUGCGGGGGCGCGACUUCCUUUUGCUGUAUUUUUUGGUGACUUGUGCUCUAAGUCUGUGAGAUAUAGAAACCUAAACCGACUUGGAUUCCAAGUCUGCGAGAUUUGGAAAUGCUAAUCAAAGGUUGGUUUGGCUUCCCUAUAUAAAUGACCCAUCGCCCUUCACCAGAAAUAGAUCAACUCGAGUUAGGGUUUUGCCUCCUUCUUGCUGGCGCGACUUCCUUUUGCUGUUUAUUUUUUGGUGACUUGUGCUCUAAGUCUGCGAGAUAUAGAAACCUAAACCGACUUGGACUCCAAGUCUGCGAGAUUUGGAAAUCCUAAUCAAAGGUCGGUUUAUCUUCCCUAUAUAAAUGACCCAUCGCCCUUCACUAGAAAUAGAUCAACUCGAGUUAGGGUUUUGCCUCCUUCUUGCUGGCGCGACUUCCUUUUGUUGUUUAUUUUUUGGUGACUUGUGCUCUAAGUCUGCGAGAUAUAGAAACCUAAACCGACUUGGACUCCAAGUCUGCGAGAUUUGGAAAUCCUAAUCAAAGGUCGGUUUGGCUUCCCUAUAUAAAUGACCCAUCGCCCUUCACCAUAAAUAGAUCAACUCGAGUUAGGGUUUUGCCUCCUUCUUGCUGCUGCACCGCCUUCGUAGUCUGCACCAUCCCGAGCGCCGACGUGCACCGACGAUCGGGAGAGCAGGUCUCUGGAACCUCCGUCCUCGAGAUACUGCACCGGCAGAGGGCGAAUAAGGUUUUUGGAAAGUGCCCGACGUGACUGCUCAAAGAUCUUCAUCACAGCUCGUCCUUCAUCCAAGCUAGGCGCCGCGGCGAACCGUCGUCUGCGACACUGGCUGCUGCACUCCGUCAACAACACCAUCUUCGUCCGGUCAAUUCCAUUCGUCUUCCCAAAAGCCAAGGCUUAGUACGUAAACUAUUUUUUCCAUUCAAUUCUUAAUCAUGUUCUCGAAGUUAAUGAUCCUGUUAUGCAUUGCCACUAGUAUGAUAGAGUUGUUCAUGCUAGAUCUAGUUAUGUUCAUGAUUUAUUUAUUUCAAAAUUUAAUCAUGCAAUUGCCUAAUAUUUCAACA